GUCUGGGUGAUCAGGGACGUAAACCAGCCAUGGCAAGGUGGUGAAGCACCACCAUGGAAGGGCACCAGCCGGGCCCUGGGGUCACAGAAGUGUCCCAGGAAGUGCAGCUGUUAAGCCUGGUGAGAGGAGAGCGAGCCAGGAGGACGGCGAGAGACAGGCAUGACGGGGCGGUCUCUGAAAUUACCACUGUGCCAGCUACGUGGCCCAGGUGGGUGGUUCACCGCACUGCCUACCCCUUCAUACCUCACCCCGUUACACCCUCCUGGAAUCAUCCUCAGUGGAGGCUGCACCGUUUCCUGCUGCCCACGUUUGACAAAGCAGGAAACUGUCUUUUCCAGACUUCCCCAUGAAGUGAGGUUUUGACAACUUCAUUCUCCAAGAGCAAACUCAGCCCCUGGAGUUUGUUCCUUCCCUGGGCCGUGGACACCCCUGCAGCAGUGGCUCCUUUCGGCGGCCGCUCUUCAGAGACGUGCUAGAGAGCAAUCGUUGAUGACAAUGUUUUCUUUUAAAAGUCCCAGAAAACAAAAAAUAAAUCCUGGGACUCAAAGCUUCCUGGGCCUGUGCCAUUAAGGCCCAUGCUUAGCAGGCUCUGCGACGUGUGGAGAUCAGGCCCACCGACCACACAGCAGUGGCUGAGGAUGGCUCACUCCUCGGCCACUCUCUGAAAUGGCAGAGGCCACUCUCAUGGCUGAGUGGUCUCUGCCACCCUCAGAGGCGUGGGUAAGAACAGGAGUUCCUGCUUGUCUCCUAGGUCCCCUAUUGUAUGUUGGCAGUCAGUGGAAAUCCAGUCUCAGGCCCUCUCAGGGGCCCCAGGCUGGUCAUUACAUUUAAAUCCUCCUGGUGUCCUGCAGACACCCAUGACCCAGGCCAAAGAGGGACCUUGCUGGUGGCCAGG
rnacentral:lncRNA from 1 species